rnacentral:lncRNA from 1 species
AAAAAGGUUCAGUUAUGUGCAAGCUGAGAAUAAGUCUCCCCUCAAUCCCCUCUAAGAGCCCCUGAGAUGGCCUGCCUUCUAGCUGUGCAAUAGUGGGAAAAAAAAUCCCUUUUUACGUUGAUGACAAUGAAGUACAAAGGCCUAACAGAGUCACCAUCCCUGCAUACUUUAUACUUCCAUCUUUUGUCACCUCAUCUCCACCUGUACCACACCCCUGAACCAGGCUGUGCAAUCCUGAGAUCCCCUGAAGAGAAAGAACCAGUCUUCUGAAGGCUUUGUGGGGCAAAGGAAAGCUACAGAGCGCUACAUGAAGAAACGGUGAGGCAGUUCGGCACUUCACAUACUAUUUAUUAUUGAAAUAUGGGAUGGUGAGGCAGAAGAGAAGGAAAAACCAAAUAGAAUGCCUCUUCUAACAAGCUAUCAGUGGGCUAGGGUGACCUCAUGGGCCUUUGCCAUCGCUCCUCUCUUUGAUGAAGCAGCCGGGCCUUUGAGACAGGAACUGCCAAGAGUCACUGUGGUCUCUGUAUCUGGAAUUGUAUUUUGUAUCUGGAAAGGACCAUUGAAGAUCGGAAGUGAUUGCCGGUAGACAGCUGUGUUUGUAAUCUUUCUCCAGACAAAUACAACAGGCAGCACAUGAAGCCCUAGUGCCCGGAGGCAGAGGCAAAGUCUCUCUUCAGAGCAG